rnacentral:lncRNA from 1 species
AGAACACAGGAGAAGACCGGAACAAGGCAGGGGCUGCUGUGGUCUCAGGGGGUCGGAGGUGGAGGCUGACGGGCCUGUGGUUAAGGGUGGACGGCUGAGCACCCUCAGUGCAGAGCCUUACAGAAGAGACCUUGCAGGGGCAGCUGUGUGGGGCUGUGGGGCUCAGGCCCCCUGUGGAAGUGGACGAGACCCCUCAGGAAGAUGGCAGCCGGAUUCACCAGGGAGGGCUCUAAGAUGGGCAGGCCCUGGCACGGGACGCUUAGGAAAGAGGCGACCUGGAUGGGGGCAGCCAGGCAUAUCAGGAAGCCAGCAAAGAAAGGGAGAAAGCCAGUGGCACAGAGGGAAGUGGGGCCUGAGAUAAAUUAUAAACUUUGGGAGGGGCCCAGGAGGCUGCCAACUUUGAUCUCAUCUUCUGGACAGGCCUUUGGGUUACUGCUUAGACCCACCACCCAACCACCAGAGAGUUACCGCCUUCUGAGAGGGGAGGUCCUGGCAGACACGUGAGGCCGAUGCAGCAGCAGGAGAAGCUGGAGAGUGGAGUAGGGGCGUGUGAAGAUGCAGGCGCCCUGAGUGCCCGGCUGUGUGGACCUGAUCUGAGCCACAACUUCCUGACUUCGAAGGCCAGGCUGGAGCCCAAGAAGGCUUUGCAGCCCCCUGGGUGUGCUCAUUGUGUGAGCCAAGUGUUGUCUCUGGUGAUGAUGCCGACAGCCCGGCUCUCCUCGUGUUUCCGCUGCUGCGUGGAAUGUGAACCAGCUGAGCCGGACCAGCGCCGCCCCAGGGCAGGAGGCCAGGUGUGCUGUCUCUGGACGACAGGCAUGAGGAACAGCGACGCCUGAUGUCACCAGGGCCUGGGAACCACCCUGCCUGGGGGAUGCUGGCCCUCUCUGCUAAUGUGCUUGGGUCCUUAUUUCCUCUUUGAAUGUGUUUCUUGAAAAACAAACUCUUUGAGGUGAAAAAAGUUUAUGGUUUUUAGAACAAUGGUUUGAAAUAGAGCAAAUACUGGUAACAGGCUCUGCAGAUAAUUCUAUAAAGCUGUGAAAGAGCCACGAAAUAGUUUACUCUAAUCACCCUGUACAAAGCAGCCACCUUCAGGAUUCAUUUCUUCAAGUGGUGUCAAUUCAAUUAAUCAUAAAAAAAUGAUUAAAAGAAUUUCAUACAACUUUGCUUUUAAAAUAAAAUCUUGGUGAACCAGCA